rnacentral:rRNA from 1 species
UCGGGAAUAUUGCGCAAUGGAGGAAACUCUGACGCAGUGACGCCGCGUAUAGGAAGAAGGUUUUCGGAUUGUAAACUAUUGUCGUUAGGGAAGAAAAAGGACAGUACCUAAGGAGGAAGCUCCGGCUAACUACGUGCCAGCAGCCGCGGUAAUACGUAGGGAGCGAGCGUUAUCCGGAUUUAUUGGGUGUAAAGGGUGCGUAGACGGGCAAGCAAGUUAGUUGUGAAAUCCCUCGGCUCAACUGAGGAACUGCAGCUAAAACUACUAGUCUUGAGUGCAGGAGAGGUAAGUGGAAUUCCUAGUGUAGCGGUGAAAUGCGUAGAUAUUAGGAGGAACACCAGUGGCGAAGGCGACUUACUGGACUGUAACUGACGUUGAGGCACGAAAGUGUGGGGAGCAAACA